rnacentral:ncRNA from 2 species
GUCGAUGGAACAAUGUAGGCAAGG